AUACGUAGGGGGCAAGCGUUAUCCGGAAUCACUGGGCGUAAAGGGCGUCUAGGCGGCAAGGCAAGUCUCGCGUAAAAGCUCCCGGCUCAACUGGGAGAGCGCGCGGGAAACUGCCUGGCUAGAGACUCGGAGAGGGGUGUGGAAUUCCCGGUGGAGUGGUGAAAUGCGUUGAGAUCGGGAGGAACACCAGUAGCGAAGGCGGCACCCUGGCCGAGUUCUGACGCUGAAGCGCGACAGCGUGGGGAGCAAACGGGAUUAGAUACCCCGGUAGUCCACGCCGUAAACGAUGACAACUAGGUGUCGGGCAUCUAAGGAUGUUCGGUGCCGCAGCCAACGCGAUAAGUUGUCCGCCUGGGGAGUACGGCCGCAAGGCUAAA
rnacentral:rRNA from 1 species